rnacentral:rRNA from 1 species
GAUGAACGCUGGCGGCGUGCCUAAUACAUGCAAGUCGAGCGAACGGACGAGAAGCUUGCUUUUCUGAUGUUAGCGGCGGACGGGUGAGUAACACGUGGAUAACCUACCUAUAAGACUGGGAUAACUUCGGGAAACCGGAGCUAAUACCGGAUAAUAUUUUGAACCGCAUGGUUCAAAAGUGAAAGACGGUCUUGCUGUCACUUAUAGAUGGAUCCGCGCUGCAUUAGCUAGUUGGUAAGGUAACGGCUUACCAAGGCAACGAGGCAUAGCCGACCUGAGAGGGGGAGCCGCCACAAGAGAGCGAAGGCACAGUCCAGACUCGUGAGAGAGGCAAGAGUAGGGAGGGUGGCAGAAGGGGCGAAAACUUGACGAAGCAACGCAGCGUGAGGGAUGGAGGUAUUCGGAUCGAAGAACUCUGUUAGGAGGGAAGAAGAUUUGUGUAGGUAACUGUGCACAGCGUGACGGUACCUGAACAGAAAGCCACGGCUAACUACGUG